rnacentral:rRNA from 1 species
GAUGAACGCUGGCGGCGUGCUUAACACAUGCAAGUCGAACGGAAAGGCUCCUGUUUGCAGGGGUACUCGAGUGGCGAACGGGUGAGUAACACGUGGGUGAUCUGCCCUGCACUUCGGGAUAAGCCUGGGAAACUGGGUCUAAUACCGGAUAGGACGAUGGUUUGGAUGCCAUUGUGGAAAGUUUUUUCGGUGUGGGAUGAGCUCGCGGCCUAUCAGCUUGUUGGUGGGGUAAUGGCCUACCAAGGCGUCGACGGGUAGCCGGCCUGAGAGGGUGUACGGCCACAUUGAGACUGAGAUACGGCCCAGACUCCUACGGGAGGCAGCAGUGGGGAAUAUUGCACAAUGGGCGCAAGCCUGAUGCAGCGACGCCGCGUGGGGGAUGACGGCCUUCGGGUUGUAAACUCCUUUCGCUAGGGACGAAGCGCAAGUGACGGUACCUGGAGAAGAAGCACCGGCUAACUACGUG